rnacentral:lncRNA from 1 species
UUUCUUCUAUCAUUCUCUCUAUACGUUGUUGUUCUAACCAAUAAUCACCGAUGCAAUAUUCUGUUCGAUCGAUUCGGGAACCAACUAACGAAUGCCAAAGUGCUGUACUUUGUGAAUUUCGUUAAACGAAUGCCAAAGUGCUAUCUAAACAAGACUUUACUUUGUGAAUUUCGUUAAGGUUCUAAUCUCGUGACCAUCGAUAGGUUUGAUUUGGUAUAACACUAAUACGUAUUCCACUCUGUUAAACUAAAUAUUUAACUACCCGAAAACUCUGCACUAUACACUUACAAUCAAAGUAGAUGCUCAAUCAUCAGAAGAUUCAGAACUAUAAAGUAGAUACUUAGAAUCAAGAUGCUUGUUUAAUCAAGACUAUAUGCUAACAAGGUGGGUCAUUCUCUUUUAAUCAACAAUGUUUUACAAUACUCAAAUUAUUUUCAAAAAGUUAUAAUUACAGGGAUUAAGUCUUAGUUAUCUUGAAUCACUGGCAAGUGGGGUAUUGUGCACAUUACUAAUUUCUCACGGUUAGGUUCACCAACCUAACAGUGAUAAUCAUCACUACUUGGGUGAAAGGACCCAAUAGUGGUAUGACCAUCGUCACCAGGGUGUGACACGGCGCCAGAUAAAAAUAAGAUAGUAGCCAUUGUAAUCGCUCUUAUGCUGUAAUUUAUAACAAUGUGUCGUUUUGUAAUGACAGUAGAUUGGAAUAAGAGUGAUGAUACGGCACCGAAAGGCUUAAAGAAGUGGCUUAUUUUAUCAAUUGAAGUAAAUUAAGAAAACAUGGUUUCAUAUAUUCGGGUUUAUCCCUUAUUAAAGCUACCUUUGUAAAACAUGGGUUUUAUCCCAUCUAUUUAAUAAAUAAAAUCCGGUGUU